rnacentral:rRNA from 1 species
CAGCAGCCACGGGAAUACGAAGGGGGCUAGCGUUGCUCGGAAUGACUGGGCGUAAAGGGCGCGUAGGCGGUUUUCCAAGUUAGAUGUGAAAUUCCUGGGCUCAACCUGGGGGCUGCAUUUGAUACUGGGAGGCUUGAGUAUGGAAGAGGGUCGUGGAAUUCCCAGUGUAGAGGUGAAAUUCGUAGAUAUUGGGAAGAACACCGGUGGCGAAGGCGGCGACCUGGUCCAUAACUGACGCUGAGGCGCGAAAGCGUGGGGAGCAAACAGGAUUAGAUACCCCUGUAGUCCCUGUCUCUUAUAC